rnacentral:tRNA from 1 species
AAGAAUAUAGUUUAUUAAAAAUGUUAGAUUGUAAAUCUAAAGAUUUUAUUCUUG